rnacentral:rRNA from 1 species
AGUGAACGCUGGCGGCGUGCUUAACACAUGCAAGCCGAACGAGAACGGGUUAUAGCUUGCUAUAAUUGUCAGCUAAGUGGCGCACGGGUGAGUAAUGUAUAGGUAAUAUGCCUCUUACUAAGGGAUAACAAUUGGAAACGAUUGCUAAUACCUUAUACUCCUUGUUAACAGAAGUUAAUAAGGGAAAGAUUUAUUGGUAAGAGAUUAGCCUGUAUUGUAUCAGUUAGUUGGUGGGGUAAUGGCUUACCAAGACUAUUACACAUAACUGGUUUGAGAGGAUGAUCAGUCACACUGGAACUGAGACACGGUCCAGACUCCUACGGGAGGCAGCAGUGGGGAAUAUUGCACAAUGGACGAAAGUCUGAUGCAGCAACGCCGCGUGGAGGAUGACACAUUUCGGUGCGUAAACUCCUUUUAUAUGAGAAGAUAAUGACGGUAUUAUAUGAAUAAGCACCGGCUAACUCCGUGCCAGCAGCCGCCGUAAUAC